UACGUAGGGUGCAAGCGUUGUCCGGAUUUAUUGGGUUUAAAGGGUGCGUAGGCGGCUAAUUAAGUCAGUGUUUAAAUUUUGCGGCUCAACCGUAAGUCUGGCAUUGAUACUGAAUAGCUUGAGUAUAAUAUAGGCAGGCGGAAUUGAUAGUGUAGCGGUGAAAUGCAUAGAUAUUAUCAAGAACUCCGAUAGCGAAGGCAGCUUGCUGAGUUAUAACUGACGCUGAGGCACGAAAGUGUGGGGAUCAAACAGG
rnacentral:rRNA from 1 species